GGCGAACGCUGGCGGCGUGCCUAAUACAUGCAAGUCGAGCGGACCGGAUUGGGGCUUGCCUUGAUUCGGUCAGCGGCGGACGGGUGAGUAACACGUGGGCAACCUGCCCGCAAGACCGGGAUAACUCCGGGAAACCGGAGCUAAUACCGGAUAACACCGAAGACCGCAUGGUCUUCGGUUGAAAGGCGGCCUUUGGGCUGUCACUUGCGGAUGGGCCCGCGGCGCAUUAGCUAGUUGGUGAAGUAACGGCUCACCAAGGCGACGAUGCGUAGCCGGCCUGAGAGGGUGACCGGCCACACUGGGACUGAGACACGGCCCAGACUCCUACGGGAGGCAGCAGUAGGGAAUCUUCCGCAAUGGGCGAAAGCCUGACGGAGCGACGCCGCGUGAGCGAAGAAGGCCUUCGGGUCGUAAAGCUCUGUUGUGAGGGACGAAGGAGCGUCGUUCGAAGAGGGCGGCGCGGUGUCGGUACCUCACGAGAAAGCCCCGGCUAACUACGUG
rnacentral:rRNA from 1 species